rnacentral:rRNA from 1 species
AGAGUUUGAUCCUGGCUCAGAUUGAACGCUGGCGGCAUGCCUUACACAUGCAAGUCGAACGGUAACGCGGGGGCAACCCUGGCGACGAGUGGCGAACGGGUGAGUAAUACAUCGGAACAUAUCCAGUAGCGGGGGAUAACCUAUCGAAAGAUUGGCUAAUACCGCAUACGAUCUACGGAUGAAAGCAGGGGACCGCAAGGCCUUGCACUAUUGGAGUGGCCGAUGUCAGAUUAGCUAGUUGGUGGGGUAAAAGCCUACCAAGGCGACGAUCUGUAGCUGGUCUGAGAGGACGAUCAGCCACACUGGAACUGAGACACGGUCCAGACUCCUACGGGAGGCAGCAGUGGGGAAUUUUGGACAAUGGGCGCAAGCCUGAUCCAGCCAUGCCGCGUGAGUGAAGAAGGCCUUCGGGUUGUAAAGCUCUUUCGGCAGGAACGAAAUGGUUCGUGCUAAUACCACGGACUGAUGACGGUACCUGAAGAAGAAGCACCGGCUAACUACGUGCCAGCAGCCGCGGUAAUACGUAGGGUGCAGGCGUUAAUCGGAAUUACUGGGCGUAAAGCGUGCGCAGGCGGUUUCUUAAGUCAGAUGUGAAAGCCCCGGGCUUAACCUGGGAACUGCGUUUGAAACUGGGAGACUUGAGUGUGGCAGAGGGGGGUGGAAUUCCACGUGUAGCAGUGAAAUGCGUAGAUAUGUGGAGGAACACCGAUGGCGAAGGCAGCCCCCUGGGCUAACACUGACGCUCAUGCACGAAAGCGUGGGGAGCAAACAGGAUUAGAUACCCUGGUAGUCCACGCCCUAAACUAUGUCAACUGGUUGUCGGGGGAUUAACUCCCUUGGUAACGAAGCUAACGCGUGAAGUUGACCGCCUGGGGAGUACGGCCGCAAGGUUAAAACUCAAAGGAAUUGACGGGGACCCGCACAAGCGGUGGAUUAUGUGGAUUAAUUCGAUGCAACGCGAAAAACCUUACCUACCCUUGACAUGUACGGAAUCCUUCAGAGAUGGAGGAGUGCCCGAAAGGGAACCGUAACACAGGUGCUGCAUGGCUGUCGUCAGCUCGUGUCGUGAGAUGUUGGGUUAAGUCCCGCAACGAGCGCAACCCUUGUCAUUAGUUGCUACAUUUAGUUGGGCACUCUAAUGAGACUGCC